GGGCGAAAGCCUGAUCCAGCAAUGCCGCGUGAGUGAUGAAGGCCUUAGGGUUGUAAAGCUCUUUUACCAGGGAUGAUAAUGACAGUACCUGGAGAAUAAGCUCCGGCUAACUCCGUGCCAGCAGCCGCGGUAAUACGGAGGGAGCUAGCGUUGUUCGGAAUUACUGGGCGUAAAGAGAACGUAGGCGGCAUACCAAGUCAGGGGUGAAAUCCCGGGGCUCAACCCCGGAACUGCCCUUGAAACUGGUAAGCUAGAAUUCUGGAGAGGUCAGUGGAAUUCCGAGUGUAGAGGUGAAAUUCGUAGAUAUUC
rnacentral:rRNA from 1 species